AUUGAACGCCGGCGGAAUGCUUUACACAUGCAAGUCGAGCGGCAGCGCGGGACUCAGGCAACUGAGCCCUGGCGGCGAGCGGCGAACGGGUGAGUAACCCAUCGGAACGUACCCUAUCGUGGGGGAUAGCUCGGCGAAAGCCGGAUUAAUACCGCAUGAGACCUGAGGGUGAAAGCAGGGGAUUGGAAACGACCUUGCGCGAUUGGAGCGGCCGAUGUCGGAUUAGCUAGUUGGUGGGGUAAAGGCUCACCAAGGCGACGAUCCGUAGCUGGUCUGAGAGGAUGAUCAGCCACACUGGAACUGAGACACGGUCCAGACUCCUACGGGAGGCAGCAGUGGGGAAUUUUGGACAAUGGGGGCAACCCUGAUCCAGCCAUUCCGCGUGAGUGAAGAAGGCCUUCGGGUUGUAAAACUCUUUCGGCAGGAACGAAACGGCGGGCUCUAACAUAGCCUGUUAAUGACGGUACCUGAAGAAGAAGCACCGGCUAACUACGUGCCAGCAGCCGCGGUAAUACGUAGGGUGCGAGCGUUAAUCGGAAUUACUGGGCGUAAAGCGUGCGCAGGCGGUUUUGUAAGACAGGUGUGAAAUCCCCGGGCUUAACCUGGGAACUGCGCUUGUGACUGCAAGACUGGAGUGUGGCAGAGGGGGGUGGAAUUCCACGUGUAGCAGUGAAAUGCGUAGAGAUGUGGAGGAACACCGAUGGCGAAGGCAGCCCCCUGGGUUGACACUGACGCUCAUGCACGAAAGCGUGGGUAGCAAACAGGAUUAGAUACCCUGGUAGUCCACGCCCUAAACGAUGCCAACUAGGUGUUGGGGAAGGAGACUUCCUUAGUACCGUAGCUAACGCGUGAAGUUGGCCGCCUGGGGAGUACGGUCGCAAGAUUA
rnacentral:rRNA from 1 species